rnacentral:lncRNA from 1 species
AGAUGUGGUAGGGUUGCCAAUGAGACACCUCUCCACAAUGACACAUAAAUUAUAACAUUUCUAUAUAUGUCAAUAUAUAGUAUUGUACAGCCUACAACAAUGACCAAAGCCCAUACAGCAGUCAGCUAUAAAAGGCAGAAAAAUGACAAAUGUAUAACAAUUCAAGUGAGAAAACUAAAUAACUUAUGUAACAGAAAAAGCAAAACAACAAAUAUGUAACACAUCAACAAA